AUCAGAAUGCCGCGGUGAAUACGUUCCCGGGUCUUGUACACACCGCCCGUCACACCAUGGGAGUCGGAAAUGCCCGAAGUCAGUGACCCAACCACAACGUGAACUUUGUUCACGUGGAGGGAGCUGCCGAAGGUGGAGCCGGUAACUGGGGUGAAGUCGUAACAAGGUAAC
rnacentral:rRNA from 1 species